rnacentral:rRNA from 1 species
CAGCAGCCGCGGUAAUACGUAGGUGGCAAGCGUUGUCCGGAAUUAUUGGGCGUAAAGGGCUCGCAGGCGGUUUCUUAAGUCUGAUGUGAAAGCCCCCGGCUCGACCGGGGAGGGUCAUUGGAAACUGGGAAACUUGAGUGCAGAAGAGGAGAGUGGAAUUCCACGUGUAGCGGUGAAAUGCGUAGAGAUGUGGAGGAACACCAGUGGCGAAGGCGACUCUCUGGUCUGUAACUGACGCUGAGGAGCGAAAGCGUGGGGAGCGAACAGGAUUAGAUACCCCAGUAGUCCCUGUCUCUUAUAC